AGCAAUGCCGCGUGAGCGAUGACGGCCUUCGGGUUGUAAAGCUCUGUUGUAAGGGAAGAAAAAAUAGAGUAGGAAAUGCCUCUAUAUUGACGGUACCUUACCAGAAAGCCACGGCUAACUAUGUGCCAGCAGCCGCGGUAAUACAUAGGUGGCAAGCGUUAUCCGGAUUUAUUGGGCGUAUAGGGUGCGUAGGCGGUUUUGCAAGUUUGAGGUUAAAGCCCGGAGCUCAACUCCGGUUCGUCUUGAAAACUGCAUUACUAUAAUGCAAGACAGGUAAGCGGAAUUCCAUGUGUAGCGGUGAAAUGCGUAGAUAUAUGGAAGAACACCUGUGGCGAAAGCGGCUUACUGGCUUGUUAUUGACGCUGAGGCACGAAAGCGUGGGGAGCAAAUAGGAUUAGAUACCCUAGUAGUCCACGCCGUAAACGAUGAGUAUUAGGUGUUGGCAUUGUCUCAGCGCCGCAGCUAACGCAUUAAGUACUCCGCCUGAGUAGUAUGCUCGCAAGAGUGAAACUCAAAGGAAUUGACGG
rnacentral:rRNA from 1 species